UACAGGACUUUCCUGAAAAACCAACGUCAUC
rnacentral:piRNA from 1 species